UUCAAUUCUUGUCUAUUCAAUUCAAAUUGUACUUCAAUUAUAUCCACUAUCCCGUUCCAAUUCUAGCUAAUUUUUAUUGCAAUUUUGGUCAUUCAAAUCUAAUCCAAUGUGAUUUUGAGAUUUUAUCUUAUAAUCUGGAGCAUCCAUCUUUUGAUAUUGAACCUCAGCCCAUCAUCUCUUUAAUAAUUAACGGUUCAGAUUCAGCCGUCUUUUCUUUCCUUUUGGAUAUCAAAAGACCCAAGCCCUAACUAUCCAUUUUUCUACUCUUCCUCUCUUCCCUCUCUAGCCACCCUCUCUCCCAUCUUUUCUCUCCACCGAAAACUCUCUCUCCCAUCGCCUCUUCUCCUCUCUCCUCCCUUCUCUCUCUUUCCAGCGAUGGACAGUAGCCAGGUGAGGAAAACAGCCGCUGGCUGCCUCUGUUUCUCUCCUCUCCUUUCUCCAGUGUUGCAAAAGAAAGCAACCGGCCAUAGCAGCAACGAAAAAGCAGCAAACAAGCGACUUCAGUGAUGACAGAAGUGCCACGCCACUAGCCGGCAAACGAAAACAACAACAUCGGCAGCCAUCUCGGGCACAAGAUCAGCAGGCAGCCGACGAAGAACAGUAGAGACCAAGCAACCUACGGCCUGCGUGCUCCAGUGAAGCCAACAGCCAAACGACGCCAGCAGCAGUUCCAAGUCGCCUACCUGCUCUCCCCUCUCUCAUUUCCGGACAACAGCUUCGAUCUAGUGAACAAGGCGAACUCCGGCGAUGCUUUUGAAAGUUUCAAACUGGUCAAAAGAGGGAUAUUUAACCGAUCCGUCCGGUUUUCAAGAAUUGUAUAAUGAGGAAGGCAAAAGAAGAGAAACUGAAAGUUUGACCAAAAGGCGAAACAAAUUUAGGUAUUGUCCCCUCGCAAAAAAUCAGAUUCAAACAAAAUAAUAUAGAAUGAGAUGGCCAUAACUGUAGCGGCGGCAAUUAAUAUCUAUAGUGGAAUUCUUCAGAUUGGAUUGAUUUGGAAGCCCAACGAAAGGGAAAGGCUAAAGUCCCAGAGUGAUUGUUCGAUAAAUUGAGGCAAGUGAAUUUCUAAAUCCUUGUUAGGUGUAUGAAAUUUGUGCAUUUCCUUGUGGUAUAUGUUUGGGAGUAAUGGAAAUUGGUGAUGGUUGACUUGUUCACAUUGAUUAAUGCUAAUGAUGAAAAAGAGGAAAUAAAAAGGCAAUGUGAUUAACUGUUGGUUUCUGUGUGAUGUGUGAGAAUGGUUUGAAAGACUUGUGGAAUCAUUAUGUUGUUGUGCAUUGUGCAUUAAUAUUAAAAUGGUCAUCUCUUCAUUAUUUGUAUGAACAUGUCAUUUGCAUUGGUUCUGAGACAUGAUUGUGGUAAGUGUUAUGUGA